rnacentral:rRNA from 1 species
GGCGGCGUGCCUAACACAUGCAAGUCGAACGAGAAAGGGUAGCAAUACCUGAGUACAGUGGCGCACGGGUGAGUAACACGUGACUAACCUACCCUGGAGUGGGGAAUAACUGAGGGAAACCUUAGCUAAUGCCGCAUAAUACCUACGGGUCAAAGGAGCAAUUCGCUUCAGGAGGGGGUCGCGGCCGAUUAGCUAGUUGGCGGGGUAAUGGCCCACCAAGGCAAUGAUCGGUAUCCGGCCUGAGAGGGCGCACGGACACACUGGAACUGAAACACGGUCCAGACUCCUACGGGAGGCAGCAGUGGGGAAUUUUGCGCAAUGGGGGAAACCCUGACGCAGCAACGCCGCGUGGAGGAUGAAAUCCCUUGGGAUGUAAACUCCUUUCGAUCGGGACGAUUAUGACGGUACCGGAAGAAGAAGCCCCGGCUAACUUCGUGCCAGCAGCCGCGGUAAUACGAAGGGGGCAAGCGUUGUUCGGAAUUAU